AAUAGCUUGGUGGCUGAUUCUGGGAGAAAAUAAAUGAAAAAAAUUUCCCUAAUCCGUUACUUCCCCUAAUUUUAGUUCUCUCGUAUCUACUCUCUCCGUCUUCCACACCACCGAUGCCUUCAACUCAGUCCUCCACAGACGCUAGCAAUGAAAUCUUCCAACGAUGUCGGCCAAUCACUUAUAUACCCACUAUCUCUUCAUCCCCCUUCAGAUUUCUCAUGGCCCUUAUUUCUCACUCUCUUUCCCAAAAUCAUCCUUCUCUGCAAUGUGCUCAGCCACAUACCAACUCUGAUUCAAAGUAACGAGGCGGUCGACGACCCCUCAACCACUCCUCAUCUGCUGCCUCUAUGUUAGCUAUUAAAGACUUGAAGCCCCCUUCAGACAACCAAGAGACCAACGCUAGGCUGUGAAUCUAUUGUUGCAGAUGGCAGGUUUGAGCAUCCUUUGUUUUCCCUCUCUUUAUUAGAAAAAAAAAAUUGUGCCACAAUUUUAUUUAUUUCUUGUGCCUUUUCAAAAUUCUUGUUUGGCUCAUUUUCUUUUGGAACUUAAUUUUUAAAGGCCCUGCAUUAUAAAUUUUUUCCCUUCUCUUUUCAUAUAUUGGAGGACUUCAAUGAAUUCACUUAAAUUGAUAAGGUCUCUAGUCUGCAAGAGAUAUUUGGUUAUAUACUGUGAAUAACUACAUGUUAUUGAUGUAAUUUUGUAUUCCCCCGUUUCCAUUUUAAAAGAUCUUUUUGGCAAUGUUUAAAUUUCAACCGAGAAGAAGCGAGUAUUCUAAAGGUUGCUGUUAUACAUUAUACACAUGUCCUUUGGUUGAGUUUUUCUAACAUGACUAGGAUUUUGAAGUUGGACAUUUAUGUUUUUUGGUUUCCUGCUUGUAGGAAAAUGCCUAAGAAAAGAGUGGGUCUAACAUGACUAGGAUUUUGAAGUUGGACUUUUGUAUCUGAUUUUCAAACAUCUUAGAUGAAAUUUUACUCUCAUUUUUGUCUAAUGGAGAUUGUGAAUUGGUAAUCAGGUUGAGGAGCUAUUUAAAAACAUACAUUGCCUAUUUGAUUUGGAUUUUCUCUUUUUCUCUGGUUUGAUGUAGCAGUAGCCAUUUUGAUUUGGCUAGAAGAUUUAGCUAUAAGGAAUUGCUUUCUGCUUUUUAAAACCAAACCAAAUUCUCAUUUGAAGCAAUAAGUUUCUGGGAAUCUGUUAUACACAUGAACUUAUUUGAUGACUGCAAAUACCUAUAUUAAUUUCUUGGAUAUUGAUUUGGAAAAGGGAGUGAAGGAGAGUGAUUUCUAAACUGAUUUUUAAGAAAUUGGGAGUUAUAUUCAUUAACGAAAAGAGGUAUACCUCAUUUGUGCUUAAAAAUUUGUUCCCAUUAUCCAAUUGAAACUUUUAGCUAAACAAUGUGUAGUUGAAGAUAAACAAGGUUGAUCUUUCUCUUUAUUUCAGCGUAGUAUGGUGCUCCUAUUUAUGUGUUUGUAAAUGUGCAAGAUGAACUAUAAUAAGAAGAAGAAAUCUUGUUAGGCACUGAGGUCUUCCAGUUUAGGUUGUGAUUGAUUACAAAAUGAUGGCAAUCUAGUAAUCACAGUAAUGAUUAUAGUGAUUUAGAUUGAUAAGGUAGUGUUUUGUGCUUUAACUUUCAAAUGAUAUGGCAUUGGCAUUGCAGGUGAGUUAGAGUUCUUUCUUUGUAGGAAGUGCAAUUAAGUCUUAAGGUGCUUGGGUAUUGCAGCUUGUUUUCAUUUUACCUUUGCUGCUGCCCGUUUGGUCCACAGCAUAAUUUUUCUGUUUGAGCAAUUAGAUAUAUCAUUGUCCUUGUCUUUUUAUUAAUUUUUAACACUAGAAAGAAUCAUAUUAUAAAUUAAAGCUGGUCCUAAACCAAAAUACCUGCAUAGCUCUGCCAAGGACUUCUGCACUAUUGUUGUUAUUGUUGUUAGUUCACUAAACAGAUUGAAUAGAAUAUAGGAUGCUUCCUUUGUGAGAGAAAGGUCUAUAAACUCUAUGUACUCAUAUAAGCAUACCCACUCUCUUUCCCCAAAGAUUGCUGAUGGCUUGAGUUAUUUUCCACUCUCUGACCCCAGACCAUCUACCCUUCAGUUCUCUUUAUCUUAUAAUGUGUUUAGAACAAUGUCAUUUAGGAGUCUUUACUUUACUGGGGUAGUAUCAUGUUUUUCCAUGUCAGAUUUAUUUGAGGAGGUGGAUGGAUUUGGUUUGGGGUUUUGGACAGAGGACCAUAUGAGGUAAGAACCUCUUCUUCUCAUUACACUCGGUUCCAUUUAAGGUGUGGAUUAUACUUUGGAUUUUAUGAUUCAUGUUUUCUAAUGGGUUUGUACCAUGCAUAAUAUUAGUCUUUACAUUGGUUUUUCGUAACUGUUUUCCUUCUUUAUUUUUGGUAAUUGAUGAUUUGAUUUAUGUUAUUAUCGCAAAGGUAUGAUUAGACAGUCGAUAUUGAGAGGUAUGAAAAAUGAAUUCAAAUUUUUUUAAGUUGGUUCGUUGAUGACCAGUAAUCAGUUUUCUUAUGUCAAUCCAAACUCUUUUUUGUUGGCUUAUUUAGUUAAGAUUGUGAAUUUCAGCUUUGGUAUAUAUAUAUAUAUAUAUAUUAAAAAUUUUAAAUUUCUUGGUUUUGGCAUCUUCUUGACCAUUGACAUUUCCUUAUUUUGUUUCUUUUGUAAAGGAAGAUGAUUGAUGAGUUUGAGAAGGUCAAGCAAACAAUUGGCAGUGUUUGGGAAUUCCUCGAUAUUAGAUCACAGCCCCUAUACCACAAGUGUUAAAGAUCAUGACUACAAAACUUGGGGAUACAAAGGGCAUAGAGUGGAGAAAUAAUGAUUGCAGAACUUGGGUUUACAAAGGGCAAGAAUAUAUGGGGCUUGGCCUCCAGUCUUUCAAUGGAGAGUUCUUCACUCGGUUAUGUUAUGUCUACUAUUUUUGGAUAUGUUAUGUGUACUUGAAUGACUAGUAUGCUUGUGUACUUUGGAAUGGGAGAAAUUUUUAUUCAUGUAAUUUUCUAUU